rnacentral:rRNA from 1 species
GCAAGUCGAGCGGACCGACGGGAGCUUGCUCCCUUAGGUCAGCGGCGGACGGGUGAGUAACACGUGGGUAACCUGCCUGUAAGACUGGGAUAACUCCGGGAAACCGGGGCUAAUACCGGAUGCUUGAUUGAACCGCAUGGUUCAAUUAUAAAAGGUGGCUUUUAGCUACCACUUACAGAUGGACCCGCGGCGCAUUAGCUAGUUGGUGAGGUAACGGCUCACCAAGGCAACGAUGCGUAGCCGACCUGAGAGGGUGAUCGGCCACACUGGGACUGAGACACGGCCCAGACUCCUACGGGAGGCAGCAGUAGGGAAUCUUCCGCAAUGGACGAAAGUCUGACGGAGCAACGCCGCGUGAGUGAUGAAGGUUUUCGGAUCGUAAAACUCUGUUGUUAGGGAAGAACAAGUACCGUUCGAAUAGGGCGGUACCUUGACGGUACCUAACCAGAAAGCCACGGCUAACUACGUGCCAGCAGCCGCGGUAAUACGUAGGUGGCAAGCGUUGUCCGGAAUUAUUGGGCGUAAAGCGCGCGCAGGCGGUUUCUUAAGUCUGAUGUGAAAGCCCCCGGCUCAACCGGGGAGGGUCAUUGGAAACUGGGGAACUUGAGUGCAGAAGAGGAGAGUGGAAUUCCACGUGUAGCGGUGAAAUGCGUAGAGAUGUGGAGGAACACCAGUGGCGAAGGCGACUCUCUGGUCUGUAACUGACGCUGAGGCGCGAAAGCGUGGGGAGCGAACAGGAUUAGAUACCCUGGUAGUCCACGCCGUAAACGAUGAGUGCUAAGUGUUAGAGGGUUUCCGCCCUUUAGUGCUGCAGCAAACGCAUUAAGCACUCCGCCUGGGGGAGUACGGUCGCAAGACUGAAACUCAAAGGAAUUGACGGGGGCCCGCACAAGCGGUGGAGCAUGUGGUUUAAUUCGAAAGCAACGCGAAGAACCUUACCAGGUCUUGACAUCCUCUGACAACCCUAGAGAUAGGGCUUCCCCUUCGGGGGCAGAGUGACAGGUGGUGCAUGGUUGUCGUCAGCUCGUGUCGUGAGAUGUUGGGUUAAGUCCCGCAACGAGCGCAACCCUUGAUCUUAGUUGCCAGCAUUCAGUUGGGCACUCUAAGGUGACUGCCGGUGACAAACCGGAGGAAGGUGGGGAUGACGUCAAAUCAUCAUGCCCCUUAUGACCUGGGCUACACACGUGCUACAAUGGGCAGAACAAAGGGCAGCGAAGCCGCGAGGCUAAGCCAAUCCCACAAAUCUGUUCUCAGUUCGGAUCGCAGUCUGCAACUCGACUGCGUGAAGCUGGAAUCGC